rnacentral:rRNA from 1 species
GAACGGAUCCUUCGGGAUUAGUGGCGGACGGGUGAGUAACACGUGGGAACGUGCCCUUUGGUUCGGAACAACUCAGGGAAACUUGAGCUAAUACCGGAUGUGCCCUUCGGGGGAAAGAUUUAUCGCCAUUGGAGCGGCCCGCGUCUGAUUAGCUAGUUGGUGGGGUAAAGGCCCACCAAGGCGACGAUCAGUAGCUGGUCUGAGAGGAUGAUCAGCCACAUUGGGACUGAGACACGGCCCAAACUCCUACGGGAGGCAGCAGUGGGGAAUCUUGCGCAAUGGGCGAAAGCCUGACGCAGCCAUGCCGCGUGAAUGAUGAAGGUCUUAGGAUUGUAAAAUUCUUUCACCGGGGACGAUAAUGACGGUACCCGGAGAAGAAGCCCCGGCUAACUUCGUG